ensembl:lncRNA
UGCACCCCCUCCACCUCCACCACCCUGUACUGCUCACCCACCACAGUCUCGGCCAGACCCUCCUAGUCUCCAGAGUGUUGGAGGAAGAGGAGGGAGGAACGCCCUGUUAGUAGACAUUCAGAAAGGAGCCAGGUUGAAGAAGGUUUUACAGGUCCAUGACCGUAGCGCACCAGUUGUCGACAAGCCCAGGGCCAGUGGUGGUGUGUCCCAGGACCAUCCCCAGGGGGAUCAGGAGGAGGGGCGGAGGCUGUGAGGCCCUCUCUAGGGGGCUUUGUUCUCUGGCGGGUUCCCCAUCCUCAGACCCGCUGGGCAGAGAGCCUUCACAGGGAAGAACGUGGUUUCACGCUCUAGCUCAUCAACGGGACUGAAGCCUCAGUGGAACCCUCCACCGACAUCGUCAGACAGUGGCCACACCCCCGAGCCCUACCAUAGGCCG